GACGAACGCUGGCGGCGUGCUUAACACAUGCAAGUCGAACGAUGAAGCUGGAGCUUGCUCCAGCGGAUUAGUGGCGAACGGGUGAGUAACACGUUAGCAAUCUGCCCUUGACUCUGGGAUAACUGCGGGAAACUGUAGCUAAUACCGGACACGAGCUUUGAAGGCAUCUUCAGAUCUGGAAAGUACUUCGGUCAAGGAUGAGCUCGCGGCCUCUCAGCUAGUUGGUGAGGUAAUGGCUCACCAAGGCGACGACGGGUAGCAGGCCUGAGAGGGUGACCGGACACACUGGAACUGAGACACGGUCCAGACUCCUACGGGAGGCAGCAGUGGGGAAUAUUGCACAAUGGGCGAAAGCCUGAUGCAGCAACGCCGCGUGAGGGAUGAAGGCCUUCGGGUUGUAAACCUCUUUUAGUAGGGAAGAAGCGAAAGUGACGGUACCUACAGAAAAAGCACCGGCUAACUACGUGCCAGCAGCCGCCGUAA
rnacentral:rRNA from 1 species